rnacentral:lncRNA from 1 species
UGAAAAAGACUCCAGAUGACUGUUUUAGUGACCAUUUUAAAUGAAAAUAUCACCAGAUUUUAAUGGUUAUCUUUCAACUCAAAAAUGGAGUAGUAAUUUUCAAAUUCUUCUCAUCCCAGUAGUAAAUGAUUCUGCAUAAAAAUGAUGAAAGCAUCGGCGUAUUCAAACUCCAGUUUCAAAGCAAGGAUAUCAGAUAAAUGGCUCAAACAUGUAGGAGCAGUGCCACUGAGCUAAAGCCCCAGUCGUGAUAAUCACUGUAAACAUCAGGGACAUCAGAAGAAAUGAGAGAGAUGGACAAGAGAAAGAGUAGAUACAAACAAGGAAGAAAAGAAAGACCAGAAUGCAUGGACAAAGCUCUGGAAAGGAUGAACUGCAUCUGGAAGGGCAGAAUUGAAUCUCACAAGCUGCAUGAUGAGAAAAUGGAACGUUCAUACAUAGAAGAGACUGUGUAGGAAAAACUGUCUAGGGUAAAAUUAUUACGAAAGCAAAGAUUAUCUCCCCAAGUCAACUCUCUCCUUUAUUCUCCAGGGGUACAAACUCUGAGAUCUCUGCCUAUCCUAUCAACAUUUCUCUAAAAUUUAUUCUAAAUACUUUUGUGGCCAGAAUAAUGUCCCCCUCCCCAAAGAUGUCCAUGUACUAAAUCUCUAGGUCCUGUGUAUCUGUCAGACAAUGAGACAAAAGGGACUUGGCAGAUAAAAGUGAAGUUACAAACCCUGUGUUAGGGAGAUGAACGUGGAUAGCCAGGGGUGCCAAGGUAGUCACACACCCCGAAGUGUGUGUUUCCCAGAGGUGAUCAAAGAUGAUAGGAAAGGACCAGAGAGAUGCAGUGUUGCUAUGUUUGAAGAUGGAGAAAAGGACUCAAGCCAAUGAAUAUGAUCUCUAGAAACUGAGAGGACAAGACAGUACAUCCCCCCGCCAAAGUCCUCCAGAAAGGAACUCUGCCCUGGCCUUAGUUCAGUGAGUCCUGUGUUGGACCUCCAAUCCACAGAACUGUAUGGUAAUAAAUUUAUAUUGUUUCCAACCACUAAGUUACGGUAAUUUGUUAUGGCAGCCAGAGAAAACUUGUAAAGCUUAUACUUUACACAUGCUAAUGUGUAUUUGUAAAAUAAAAGAGGCAUAAUUAUAAACAUUUGAACUGACUC